CUCUUCAGAUGAGUUGCGCGCGUCGAGGUGUUUAAAUAACCGAACAAAUAAACGUGGUUGAAUCUGAUUUUUAAUAACUAAAACUAAGGAAUAUACUCUUGCCGCUCAUAUUUAUUAAUGGAUGAUAACAUAAUUAAUAUUUUUUAUUUUGUGCUAAAGAUGAGCGGCUUCGAAAAUUAAUAAACAUUUGUGCAAUAAAAUAUACACAUAUAUUAUAUAAAAUGUAAAGCAUUCAUAAUUGCGUUAAACACCCAAAAAUAGACUAAAAGAGUACUCAACCAAAAAUGAAAAAAUUUAAGUUAAUCCAAAUUAAAACAAUUUCGUAUACGAAACCAAACUUGUUUAUCUUUAGAAGAUAACGAAUAGCGUCAUACACACAAGGCGUAUACGUUACUUUGCCGCUGAACUUAGUUCACUUCGGUUAUCGCUUACCUUUUAUAUUGCUGACAUACAUACAUAACGUAAAAAAUGUGGAUCACCAGUGAACAACAUUGAUGUAGUGACAUAUUAUUAUUAAACUGCAAUAUUCAUUAUCCUUUGCAUAAGUAUGCAUCCAAUCGGUGAAUAUAUUUAGUUUCUAAAAAUGCUAAUAGUCUGCAGUAUCGUUUACACAUUAUCUGAUUUUUAGUUGAGUUCCUCAUCCGAAUUACAAUGAGCGUAUUGAUGUGUUCUUAAUGAUCAAUUGAGUAUUCCGUUUUAAGCAAUUUUUGUAUUUGAAACCUUAUCCUAUAAUAAUUAUAUACGUUGAAAUAAAAGUCCCUUUAAUUGUGAUGCUGGUAAAAUAUGAACGUCGAAACUCCGAACAACAAUUGAACACUCAUGCUUGUUUUGUUAUUCACCACUUUCGAGUAUAUACAUAUGUACAUACAAACAUAUAUGUAUAUUAAUAGAAAAUGCUUCAUAUUAAUAGGCAAUAAUAAUAUAA